ACGGGUGAGUAACGCGUGGGCAACCUGCCCCAUACCGGGGGAUAGCAGUUGGAAACGACUGGUAAAACCGCAUAAGCGCACAGUAAGGCAUCUUACAGUGUGAAAAACUCCGGUGGUAUGGGAUGGGCCCGCGUCUGAUUAGCCAGUUGGUGAGGUAACGGCUCACCAAAGCGACGAUCAGUAGCCGGCCUGAGAGGGCGGACGGCCACAUUGGGACUGAGACACGGCCCAGACUCCUACGGGAGGCAGCAGUGGGGGAUAUUGCACAAUGGGGGAAACUCUGAUGCAGCGACGCCGCGUGAGUGAAGAAGUAUUUCGGUAUGUAGAGCUCUAUCAGCAGGGAAGAAAGGCUCGCAAGAGAGAUGACGGUACCUGAGUAAGAAGCUCCGGCUAAAUACGUGCCAGCAGCCGCGGUAAUACGUAUGGAGCAAGCGUUAUCCGGAUUUACUGGGUGUAAAGGGAGCGCAGACGGAUAUGCAAGUCUGAAGUGAAACCCCACGGCUCAACCGUGGGCUUGCUUUGGAAACUGUAGAUCUAGAGUACUGGAGAGGUAAGCGGAAUUCCUGGUGUAGCGGUGAAAUGCGUAGAUAUCAGGAAGAACAUCGGCGGCGAAGGCGGCUUACUGGACAGCAACUGACGUUGAGGCUCGAAGGCGUGGGGAGCAAACAGGAUUAGAU
rnacentral:rRNA from 1 species